UACAACCUCCACCUCCCAGCCACCUGCCUA
rnacentral:piRNA from 1 species